ACAUAGCCCCGAUAGAAAUGAAAAUCCUUGUUAGGGCUGGUGUUCAGCCCUAACAAGGAUUGUAAUGUAUAGCGGGAAAUACG
rnacentral:sRNA from 1 species